rnacentral:rRNA from 1 species
AUUGAACGCUGGCGGAAUGCUUUACACAUGCAAGUCGAACGGUAACAGGUCUUCGGAUGCUGACGAGUGGCGAACGGGUGAGUAAUAUAUCGGAACGUGCCCAGUCGUGGGGGAUAACGUAGCGAAAGUUACGCUAAUACCGCAUACGAUCUAUGGAUGAAAGCGGGGGAUCGCAAGACCUCGCGCGAUUGGAGCGGCCGAUAUCAGAUUAGGUAGUUGGUGGGGUAAAGGCUCACCAAGCCGACGAUCUGUAGCUGGUCUGAGAGGACGACCAGCCACACUGGAACUGAGACACGGUCCAGACUCCUACGGGAGGCAGCAGUGGGGAAUUUUGGACAAUGGACGCAAGUCUGAUCCAGCCAUUCCGCGUGCAGGACGAAGGCCUUCGGGUUGUAAACUGCUUUUGUACAGAACGAAAAGGUUUCUAUUAAUACUAGGGGCUCAUGACGGUACUGUAAGAAUAAGCACCGGCUAACUACGUGCCAGG